AGCAGCCGCGGUAAUUCCAGCUCCAAUAGCGUAUAUUAAAGUUGUUGCAGUUAAAAAGCUCGUAGUUGAAUUUCGGGAUCAAUAUUUCGGUCAUGCCGUUGGUAUGCACUGUUAUCAUUGAUUUCUCACCUUCUAAAGAACCGUAAUGCCAUUAAUUUGGUGUUACGGGGAAUUAGGACUGUUACCUUGAAAAAAUUAGAGUGUUUAAAGCAGGCUCACGCUCGAAUACAUUAGCAUGGAAUAAUGAAAUAGGACAUCCGAUUCUAUUUUGUUGGUUUCUAGGAUCGAUGUAAUGAUUAAUAGGGAUAGUUGGGGGCAUUAGUAUUCAAUUGUCAGAGGUGAAAUUCUUGGAUUUAUUGAAGACUAACUACUGCGAAAGCAUUUGCCAAGGAUGUUUUCAUUAAUCAAGAACGAAAGUUAGGGGAUCGAAGACGAUCAGAUACCGUCGUAGUCUUAACCAUAAACUAUGCCGACUAGGGAUCGGAUGAUGUUAAUUUUUAAUGUACUCAUUC
rnacentral:rRNA from 1 species